UCCCUCCUCUCUCCGCUCUGCUUAAUUGGGUGAGCUCAGGGGGGCUUUAAUUGCUGUGUGCAAUGCACAGCUUCACCCCCUCCUCUGAAUUUUUGGCUCCAGCCUUUCUUCUUUCCUCCUCCUCCUCAUCCUUCCCAGCACCAUUUCUCUUUCCCCUCCGACAACAUCUCUCCUUUAUUUUUCCCCAGUCUCUUUUGGAAACAGCGACAAGCCAAAGCACAAUGCCUGGAGGAUGCUCCCUUAUCCCUGCUCCUGCUUCUCAUUUCCAUGGGGUUGGAGACCACCCUGGGUUCAUGAUCACCACGUCUGCAUAUGGCAACUGUGUGCUAACAGCUGCUGUGCCCAAUCCACGAGGGGCUGCUUCUGGCACUUGUACUGAGCCAUCAAGCCCAGGAUUUUCUCCCUGCUCAGAUGCUGGAGCCAGCUGGAGUCAGACCAAAGCUGAGGGUGUGCAAAUCCUCCAGCAGACAGAUACACCAAGAGGGGCUGUCCAGCUCCCAGCUGCAGGCAGGAAUGGACACGGGUAGGAGCUGAAUACCAGAGCAUCAGCCCAGGUGAGAAGUCGUGCAUGGGAGGGCAGUGAUGGGGUGUCUGGCGCAGUCCAUCCUGCUGCAGCUCUGUCAGGGAGGUGGUCAGAGGGACUGCGAGGACAGGAGGGGAUUGGAUUGUGUGGUUGUCAUCUCAUGUCCCCAGCUGCAAGGACAGUCCCUAACUCAGCUCCAAGUCUGCACCUGCGAGCACCGCUCCCUGCUGCUCCAUCUGCCAAAACAGCUCACUG